rnacentral:rRNA from 1 species
UACGGAGGGUGCGAGCGUUAAUCGGAAUUACUGGGCGUAAAGCGCGCGUAGGCGGUUUGUUCAGUCAGCUGUGAAAGCCCCGGGCUCAACCUGGGAACUGCAGUUGAUACUGGCCGACUAGAGUAUAGAAGAGGGAGGUAGAAUUCCAUGUGUAGCGGUGAAAUGCGUAGAGAUAUGGAGGAAUACCAGUGGCGAAGGCGGCCUCCUGGUUCAAUACUGACGCUGAGGUGCGAAAGCGUGGGGAGCAAACAGG